GGCUGGUCCGAUGGUAGUGGGUUAUCAGAACUUAUUCACAUUAGUGUCACUAAAGUUGCUAUUCAACCCCCCACUGCUAAAUUUGACUGGCUUAAA
rnacentral:Y_RNA from 1 species